UACAGAGGGUGCGAGCGUUAAUCGGAAUUACUGGGCGUAAAGCGUGCGUAGACGGUUUCGUAAGUCGGGUGUGAAAUCCCCGGGCUCAACCUGGGAAUUGCAUUCGAGACUGCGAGGCUAGGGUGCGGAAGAGGGAAGCGGAAUUUCCGGUGUAGCGGUGAAAUGCGUAGAUAUCGGAAGGAACAUCAGUGGCGAAGGCGGCUUCCUGGUCCAGCACCGACGUUCAGGCACGAAAGCGUGGGGAGCAAACAGG
rnacentral:rRNA from 1 species